AUAUAUAUGUAUAGUAUAGGUAUUAAAAUUGGAAUGAUUUGGAGAUUAGCAUAGCCCCUGCACAAGGAUGACAGGCAAAUCUGUGAAACAUUCCAUAUUAAA